AUGAACGCUAGCGACAGGCUUAACACAUGCAAGUCGAGGGGCAGCGGUGGAGAGAGCUUGCUCUCUUCAGCCGGCGACCGGCGCACGGGUGAGUAACACGUAUGCAACCUGCCCUUGACACUGGGAUAACCCGGAGAAAUCCGGACUAAUACCGGGCGACACCUUCGGAGGGCAUCCUCCUUAGGUCGAAGGAAGCGAUUCCGGUCAAGGAUGGGCAUGCGGCGCAUUAGCUAGUUGGCGGGGUAACGGCCCACCAAGGCGACGAUGCGUAGGGGUUCUGAGAGGAAGGUCCCCCACAUUGGUACUGAGACACGGACCAAACUCCUACGGGAGGCAGCAGUGAGGAAUAUUGGUCAAUGGGCGCGAGCCUGAACCAGCCAAGUCGCGUGAGGGAAGACGGCCCUACGGGUUGUAAACCUCUUUUGUCGGGGAGCAAGGACUGCCACGAGUGGCAGGGCGAGAGUACCCGAAGAAAAAGCAUCGGCUAACUCCGUGCCAGCAGCCGCGGUAAUACGGAGGAUGCGAGCGUUAUCCGGAUUUAUUGGGUUUAAAGGGUGCGUAGGCGGAAGUUCAAGUCAGCGGUAAAAUCGAGGGGCUCAACCCCUUUAAGCCGUUGAAACUGGGUUUCUUGAGUGGGCGAGAAGUGUGCGGAAUGUGUGGUGUAGCGGUGAAAUGCAUAGAUAUCACACAGAACUCCGAUUGCGAAGGCAGCACACCGGCGCCCAACUGACGCUGAGGCACGAAAGCGUGGGGAUCAAACAGGAUUAGAUACCCUGGUAGUCCACGCAGUAAACGAUGAACACUAGGUGUGCGGGUCGAAUGAGAUCUGCGUGCCACAGCGAAAGCGUUAAGUGUUCCACCUGGGGAGUACGCCGGCAACGGUGAAACUCAAAGGAAUUGACGGGGGCCCGCACAAGCGGAGGAACAUGUGGUUUAAUUCGAUGAUACGCGAGGAACCUUACCCGGGCUCAAACGGCAGAGGAAAGUUUUUGAAAGGAGGCUGCUCUACGGAGUCUCUGCCGAGGUGCUGCAUGGUUGUCGUCAGCUCGUGUCGUGAGAUGUUGGGUUAAGUCCCGCAACGAGCGCAACCCUUAUCUUUAGUAGCCAGCGGUCCGACCGGGCACUCUAGAGAGACUGCCAGGGAUAACCUGGAGGAAGGCGGGGAUGACGUCAAAUCAGCACGGCCCUUACGUCCGGGGCGACACACGUGUUACAAUGGCAGGUACAGCGGGAAGCCACCGAGCGAUCGGGAGCAGAACCCGAAAACCUGUCUCAGUUCGGAUUGGAGUCUGCAACUCGACUCCAUGAAGCUGGAUUCGCUAGUAAUCGCGCAUCAGCCAUGGCGCGGUGAAUACGUUCCCGGGCCUUGUACACACCGCCCGUCAAGCCAUGGAAGCCGGGGGUGCCUGAAGUGCGCGACCGCAAGGAGCGCCCUAAGGUAAAACCGGUGACUGGGGCU
rnacentral:rRNA from 1 species